GGGAAUCGAACGGAAUGUCAAAUAACAACCUUGCCAAGGUUGGGGUCGAGGGUUCGAAUCCCUUCGCCCG
rnacentral:tRNA from 1 species